UGAUGUUUAAUGAAACGACAAGCCGUUUUAAGCUUUGGGUACACUGAAUUGCCAACUACGUGUCAGAAGAACAAGGUUUAUCUGCUUCCCGGAGGCUUAUAUCUCCGAACACAACUGAACUGAACUGAACAACCUUAAGAAAAACACUGAACGGGGCCGAAAAUGGCAGUGCUUAUUGUGAAGCUUCCCUUUAUCUCGUGCUGCUGCUGCGAUAGCCGUUACUCCACUUUGUUCUUCUUAUCGAAAUCUCACCCUCUUCUUCAUUGGAGAUGGUUCAAAUCUCAUAGAAAUAGUCCCUUUAGAAGCUUUGCUGUUUCCAAGUCAGAAAAACUUCAAAUACCCAAAAAAAAAAUGGAAGAAUAUGCCAGUUGCGAAGUGACCCUAUCUUUUUUAGUGAGAGAUUCCAAAGUUCAAGAGGUA